rnacentral:ncRNA from 1 species
GAUGGACCCGCGUCUGAUUAGCUAGUUGGUGAGGUAAAGGCUCACCAAGGCGACGAUACAUAGCCGACCUGAGAGGGUGAUCGGCCACACUGGGACUGAGACACGGCCCAGACUCCUACGGGAGGCAGCAGUGGGGAAUAUUGCACAAUGGGCGAAAGCCUGAUGCAGCGACGCCGCGUGAGUGAUGAAGGACUUCGGGAUGUAAACCUCUUUCAGCAGGGAAGAAAUAAUGACGGUACCUGACUAAGAAGCCCCGGCUAACUACGUGCCAGCAGCCGCGGUAAUACGUAGGGGGCAAGCGUUAUCCGGAUUUACUGGGUGUAAAGGGAGCGUAGACGGCAGAGCAAGUCUGAUGUGAAAUACCGGGGCUUAACCCCGGGACUGCAUUUGAAACUGUUGAGCUAGAGUGGGGAAGAGGGAGGUGGAAUUCCAGGUGUAGCGGUGAAAUGCGUAGAUAUUAGGAGGAACACCAGUGGCGAAGGCGGCUCUCUGGAC